rnacentral:rRNA from 1 species
UACAGAGGUCCCGAGCGUUGUUCGGAUUCACUGGGCGUAAAGGGUGCGUAGGUGGCAUGGUAAGUUUGAUGUGAAAGCUCAGGGCUCAACCCUGAAAUGGCAUUGAAUACUACUGUGCUGGAGGUGUGGAGGGGGGACUGGAAUUCUUGGUGUAGCAGUGAAAUGCGUAGAUAUCAAGAGGAACACCAGUGGCGAAGGCGAGUCCCUGGACAACACCUGACACUGAGGCACGAAAGCUAGGGGAGCAAACAGG